rnacentral:rRNA from 1 species
GUCUACGGCCAUACCACCCUGAAGGCGCCCGAUCUCGUCUGAUCUCGGAAGCUAAGCAGGGUCGGGCCUGGUUAGUACUUGGAUGGGAGAAAUAAGAUAGUUUUAUGUA